AGAACGAACGCUGGCGGCAUGCCUAACACAUGCAAGUCGAACGCUCUCUUCGGAGGGAGUGGCGCACGGGUGAGUAACGCGUGGGAACCUGCCUUGGAGUGGGGGAUAACCGAUGGAAACGUCGGCUAAAUACCGCAUACGUCCUGAGGGAGAAAGAUUUAUCGCUCUGAGAGGGGCCCGCGUCGGAUUAGCUAGUUGGUGGGGUAACGGCCUACCAAGGCGAUGAUCCGUAGCUGGUCUGAGAGGAUGAUCAGCCACACUGGGACUGAGACACGGCCCAGACUCCUACGGGAGGCAGCAGUGGGAAUAUUGGACAAUGGGCGCAAGCCUGAUCCAGCAAUGCCGCGUGAGUGAUGACGGCCUUAGGGUUGUAAAGCUCUUCGGCGGGACGAUGAUGACGGUACCGCAGAAGAAGCCCCGGCUAACUUCGUGCCAGCAGCCGC
rnacentral:rRNA from 1 species